CCUACGGGGGGCAGCAGUGGGGAAUAUUGCGCAAUGGGCGAAAGCCUGACGCAGCGACGCCGCGUGAGGGAUGAAGGUCUUCGGAUCGUAAACCUCUGUCAGCAGGGAAGAACGGUCACUGUGCUAAUCAGCAGUGAAUUGACGGUACCUGCAAAAGAAGCACCGGCUAACUCCGUGCCAGCAGCCGCGGUAAUACGGAGGGUGCGAGCGUUAAUCGGAAUUACUGGGCGUAAGGCGCUCGUAGGCGGUAUGUCAAGUCAAGGGUGAAAUCCCCGCGCUCAACGUGGGAACUGCCUUUGAAAAUGGCAAACUGGAGUGUGUGAGAGGAUAGUGGAAUUCCAGGUGUAGGAGUGAAAGCCGUAGAUAUCUGGAGGAACAUCAGUGGCGAAGGCGACUAUCUGGCACAUAACUGACGCUGAGGAGCGAAAGCGUGGGUAGCAAACAGGAUUAGAUACCCUUGUAGUC
rnacentral:rRNA from 1 species